rnacentral:rRNA from 1 species
CAAAAACAUAACUAUAUGAAGGCAUAUAUAGCUAUUUCUGCUCAAUGAUUAGUUAAAUGGCCGCAGUAAUUUGACUGUGCAAAGGUAGCAUAAUCAUUUGGCCUAUAAUUGAGGUCUAGUAUGAAAGAAUAUAUGGGGGUUAACUGUAUCUAGAAUGGAGCUUUAAAUUGCUUAUUAGGUGAAAAUUCCUAUUUCUAAAUAAUAGACGAGAAGACCCUAGAAAUUUUAAGGAUUAUUUAAAAGAUUUGUUUUUGUUGGGGCGACAUAAUAGCAUAAAACCUAUUUUAAUUAUAUGUGAUUAUUAUAAUAAGAUAAACCAAAUUACUCUAGGGAUAACAGCAUAAUAUUUAAAAGUUUGUGACCUCGAUGUUGGACUAGGGAAUAAUAGCCCAAAAGGCUUUUUAUUAGGCUCUGUUCGAGCGGAAUCCCCUACGUGAUCUGA